rnacentral:rRNA from 1 species
AUACGGAGGGUGCAAGCGUUAUUCGGAAUCACUGGGCGUAAAGGGCGCGUAGGCGGAAUGGUAAGUCAGUGGUGAAAAUCCAGGGCUCAACCCUGGACCUGCCUUUGAUACUGCCAUUCUUGAGUGCGAGAGAGGAAAGUGGAAUUCCCGGUGUAGCGGUGAAAUGCGUAGAUAUCGGGAAGAACACCGGUAGCGAAGGCGGCUUUCUGGCUCGCAACUGACGCUGAGGCGCGAAAGCGUGGGGAGCAAACAGGAUUAGAAACCCCGGUAGUCC